rnacentral:lncRNA from 1 species
UUUUUGAGACUGAAGACAAAGUAAUCGGAUUCUAAAAUAUCUGUGUAGAUGUAGCCUCAAGAUUUCAUCCUGUCAGAGUUUUGGAGUCUUGCCUUUUUGUUGUCACUUUGUGUAUUUGCAGUCAUGCAGUAGGGUUUUGUUUUUAUGUUUUUUUCACUGUAAUUUGGUUCCUUUUUUUUCAGCUGGUAUCUGACUGUAAUCAUUCCAUGUGUCAUUGCUGUCAUGUUGUCUCUCCUUGGCUGCUCUCUGUUCAUUUCCUCUCAUUUCUGUGAUGCUGUCCUGGUGUUUUGUUUCCUCACCAAUCCUUCAAACUGUGAUUCUGAUCCAAAAGGCCCCAUGACCACUUGAGUCCAUCCCUGAAUCCUUUCACGCUUGUAUAAAGAAACUAACAGCACAGUUUGUGGACUUUUCUGUUAAUCUGAGCAGCAUCAAUGGUGGCCAUUUUUUCACCUGUUCUGAUUUCGUGGUGUGUUUUGACCCGUUCUGUUGGAUCUUUCACAAGCUGCAGCCUCGGACAGCUGCAGGAGGCAGCUGCUGGUCUGUUGAAGGGUACAAACCCAAGCAGUGUGCGGCUUCAUGUCGCACUUCAUGCUCACCCUCUGAUGGGAUGGCAGAGGGGCGAUCAGCAGACAUGCCCAGACUUGUUCCUAAUUGUUCAUUGGGGGGGCUCAAAUCCGACUAAUUCUCUAUCAGUUUUCUUCUGGUUUCCUUGUAGGUGAUUAUCUUUCAUAAGCUGACAUGGGGUCACCGCGGUGUCAUGUUGACAUUGGGAUAAUAGGGCUAAUGUCAAGUGCAUUUGGGGUAUCUGUAAAGCCAUGUGUUUAGCUUGCAGCAUGGUGUUCCUGACCUCUCCCACCGACACACAUUAGCGCCCCUCAUUCCUCCGUGAGCAUUAAAAAAAACUUGCACAAAUGAGUUCUGACUGCAAAAUACAGUGAACAUGAAGUGAUAAUCACCGUCCUUAUACUUGCUUUUACUCUCUUUUAUCCUUUCUGUGGAUGUGGAGCUGCUGGAGCAUGCAGUGAAGUGUUAACAUGAUGAGCUCUGCAGAAAGACGAGGCUUGUUAGCGAGGACGGAUAUCCCUGAGUCAGACUGGAUUGGGAAUACUGCACCGAGUCAAAGUGAAUCAAAGUAAUCAUCAGUCUGGGCGUCUCUUGUAACGGACUGCUUGGGGGAAGCUAGCAGCACAAAAAAGUAUUUUUUUGAGGUGUGAUAUUAAUCGUAGGAACAAUUCAAAAUGAUUAUUUAUAAUGAGGAAAAGAUGUUCAAGUGCUAGGUCUUACCGAGACUGGAAAAGAGGAACAAAUUAAAUCAGAUCAAACCUGAAACAUCUGCUCCUGUCUCAUCAGCACUCAAAGCAGCUCUGCAGAAAUGGAUGUUUCCGUGGCUCGUGCUCUUUUCGGGAUGCUGCAAUAAAAGUCGGUAAAAUGUGACAGCAGCAGACAUAAAACACUUUAAUGGACACCCACUCUUCUCCAACACGCUCACUUUGAAUUUCAAUCAUCUGAUGCCAGAGUGGCACACGUGUUGUGGCGUUUUCUUAAAAGUCAUAAAAACAAGUGCGACAGAAUAUCAAACCAGGAGGCAUUUAGAGCUCAUUGACACAUUAUUACACGCCGCAUUAGCUUUUAUUUUGAAUGACGCAUUAUUGAACAAAGUAAAGUACAUCUUUUAAAAUCAGGAGUUGGAUUUCAGGGCAGUGACUGGAAAGACCGUGACUACAUAAUAUUUUUUAUACUCUUAACAGACUUUAUAUCGAGUCACGUACAAGUACAAAGACACAUUUAUCACCUGGAUAUGAUUUUCUCUCCACCUCAUCAAAUUAGAGAUGCAGAAAGACAGAGAUGGACAGGUCCAUGGCAGCAAAACGUCUGCAGCAGCGAUCCAGAGGAACCUACAGCAUGAUGGAGCUCAAGGACUCCAGAAAAGACUGGAUUAGAGACUCCAACUCGUGAUUUCCACCGCAUCCGGAACAGCUCUAAUCAGGAACGGCAGCGAUUUUUCGCCUUCCACCAAUUCCCACCGGAUACGUUUGCAAGGUGAAUUUUGUGGUGGAUUGCGGACAGCAGGAAUCGCGAGAACUCACAAGAACCCGCGGAUUCACGUGCGAUCGCGUGAUAACAAGUUGUCUCUUAGUCGCAGAGGCUAACCAUAUAAGCAGUAGAUUGUGUCCUUCCAGAGGAGUAAAUUCACUCCUACACUUAUAAAAUCAGCAUCUCCUCAUCUAUGGUGUCAUCCUUGCACUUGUUCGUCCCCGCCUGUUUGCAUGGUGUGAAAUACAAUCCGCCUGAAACACGGAGUGUUUUAUUUUGAAAAGAAGCUGGAUGUUUUAUUUUGUGUCUGUGCCCGACUUCCUUUCAAGCACAGAUUAAUCUGUGCUGAAUAUAUCCAGCAUGCUCUGGUGUCCAGAAAAAUAGAACUCUUGCGAUCUUCAGUGGAGUCUGGUAGUUCAUAGCGGAACGAAAAGAAGCUGGUGAAAAUUGACACAUUAACUUGAAUGGUUACGAUCAGCUACAAUUGGCUAAUACGGCCUUUUCGUAGCCAUUCCAGGUGAGAUGGAAAUUGGGGGUAGGGGGAAAAGUUGAUUUACAGACAGAGAGAGGAUGGAGAAGAAGAGAAAGGUGCUCAACGUGCCCGGCAGUCUUCACCUGUAGCAGCAUAAUAAUGAGCUGGCCCAGGCCUGAACCAGCCCUGACUGUAAGCUUUAAGCCUACUCUUAAAGGUAGAGAGAGUGUCUGCUCUCCACAUCUCGACUGGUAGAUAACUCCAGAGGAGAGGGGCCUGAUAAUUGAAAACUCCACCACCCAGACCAAUGUAUCCCCUCUCCCUGUAAUCUGAUUUUGACUGUACGUAAAUGAUACUGACUGCUUAAAUGCUGGUCCCAAUUUUCAUGAAAGUCGAAGCCAAACACACAGUGAUGUGCAGGUGCAGUUUGCUGUUUUGGAUGCAGAUCCCUGUUCCCUUGUUAUGACCCAGGUCUCAUUCACAGCUUCACAUGAUCAGUCAGGUUGGUAUUCAUUCUCCUUUCUUCUGAACCUCACAGUCUUGAAUCUCAGGCGAACAGCUCCCACUCCUUCCUCAGAAAAACUGAAGCUCUUUUUUUGAUCAUUUCCUUUUAAGCUACAAGCUUCACUCACCCUCAGCAGCUCCACGGAGCUGGCAGAGCGAGCAGUAAAAAGGUUUGUGCUGGUCUCAAUGAGCGGACUCACUGGGUUGUACUACAAUCUCCUCUUUGUUUCCUCUCACUCUAAUGGCUUCUUUAUCAUUUCUUCCUCUGUUCAAAGGCCAUGCAGUACUUGACUGGCUGUAAAUCUGUUUGGAGACUAAUCUGCCACUACCGACCAGCUGCUCUCUUGGCACUGGCUGGGGCCAACAUUCCCGUUGCUAUGGAGAUAACCAGUCAUGCCAGUUACACAUAAGGCCUGGCACAACGCCGAGCAGGCCGUGUGUAGUAAGCGCGCGCUUGCUCGUGUGUUUGUGUAUGUCCGUGCGUGUGGAGUUAGCCCGGAUAAUGUGCGUCUGUAUUGUUAGGAGUCGAACCGUGUGGUCUGUUAACCGCCAAAGGAAAAAAAAAAAAGAAAGGUUGUUGAUUAACUGACAUUACCAGCUGUUUAUCGGCCUGAGCCUGUUAGGUGUUACAGUCUGUAUUAGAUUCCGCUCUGGGAUUGUGUUUGUACACAAAAGGAGCAGAAGAGUUGGCAAAAGUCUGUCAAAUGUUGCCUUUUGUUUCAGCGGCUAAUUGUCGAACAUAAAGUCUGUUCUGCUUAAUCCUAUCUGCAGACACAGGACUGAUGGAGGCAACCAGGUGAAACCCUGAAUUAGACCCUGUAUACACGCUAUAUAGAGACAAGUCACCUGGAUCACAUCACUCAACUAGAGACUGAAAAAAAGGGAAAUGAGCGACAACAAAAACAUCGUAAACAACUAGUGUACGACCAGCAAGAGCUUUACGGUGUAAAACAGGUGGAGGUAGUUUGCGGACAAUUUACUUGAAGCUCCUGUGAGGAGUUUUUUGACAUUCAUGAGAUAGACUUAAAUUUAUGUUUUUAUGCUAUAUACCACUGAGCAUUUUUUGGUC